CAAGGAACCAACCAUGCUAUCUGGUUGUUCCUCGACUCCUUUGAUGGAAGAGCCUUUUAUGAAAGAGCUCAUCCGCUUCGGUACCCAAUUUAUCGGGUACCGCGAUUAUGCUGCCCAGCUCGAAGAGAAAUUUGCGGAAACCAGCAAACGUGCUGACGCUCUUGCUGCUAAAUUGGAGCAAAGUGAAUCGGCACGCAUGAAAGCCGAAGCUGAUGCUGCUACCGU